GAUUUUAAACACGAAGUGAGUGGCGAACGGGUGAGUAACACGUGGGUAACCUGCCCAGAAGUAGGGGAUAACACCUGGAAACAGAUGCUAAUACCGUAUAACAGAGAAAACCGCAUGGUUUUCUUUUAAAAGAUGGCUCUGCUAUCACUUCUGGAUGGACCCGCGGCGUAUUAGCUAGUUGGUGAGGUAAAGGCUCACCAAGGCAGUGAUACGUAGCCGACCUGAGAGGGUAAUCGGCCACAUUGGGACUGAGACACGGCCCAGACUCCUACGGGAGGCAGCAGUAGGGAAUCUUCCACAAUGGACGCAAGUCUGAUGGAGCAACGCCGCGUGAGUGAAGAAGGGUUUCGGCUCGUAAAGCUCUGUUGUUAAAGAAGAACGUGGGUAAGAGUAACUGUUUACCCAGUGACGGUAUUUAACCAGAAAGCCACGGCUAACUACGUGCCAGCAGCCGCGGUAAUACGUAGGUGGCAAGCGUUAUCCGGAUUUAUUGGGCGUAAAGCGAGCGCAGGCGGUCUUUUAAGUCUAAUGUGAAAGCCUUCGGCUCAACCGAAGAAGUGCAUUGGAAACUGGGAGACUUGAGUGCAGAAGAGGACAGUGGAACUCCAUGUGUAGCGGUGAAAUGCGUAGAUAUAUGGAAGAACACCAGUGGCGAAGGCGGCUGUCUGGUCUGCAACUGACGCUGAGGCUCGAAAGCAUGGGUAGCGAACAGAUUA
rnacentral:rRNA from 1 species